rnacentral:rRNA from 1 species
AUACGGAGGAUCCGAGCGUUAUCCGGAUUUAUUGGGUUUAAAGGGAGCGUAGGCGGGAGAUCAAGUCAGCUGUGAGAUGUAGAUGCUCAACAUCUGCACUGCAGUUGAAACUGGUUUUCUUGAGUGCGUAAGGGGCAGGCGGAAUUCGUCGUGUAGCGGUGAAAUGCUUAGAUAUGACGAAGAACUCCGAUCGCGAAGGCAGCCUGCCGGGCCGCGACUGACGCUGAAGCUCGAAGGUGCGGGUAUCGAACAGGAUUAGAUACCCUGGUAGUCCGCACAGUAAACGAUGGAUACUCGCUGUCGGCGAUAUACGGUCGGUGGCCAAGCGAAAGCGUUAAGUAUCCCACCUGGGGAGUACGCCGGCAACGGUGAAACUCAAAGGAAUUGACGGGG